rnacentral:rRNA from 1 species
UACGAAGGGGGCUAGCGUUGUUCGGAAUUACUGGGCGUAAAGCGUAUGCAGGCGGACUUUUAAGUCGGGGGUGAAAUCCCGAGGCUCAACCUCGGAACUGCCUUCGAUACUGGAAGUUUUGAGUCCGGGAGAGGUGAGUGGAACGUCCGAGUGUAGAGGUGAAAUUUCGUAAGAUAUUCGGAAGAACACCAGUGGCGAAAGGCGGCUCACUGGCC